UACGUAGGGGGCAAGCGUUGUCCGGAUUUAUUGGGCGUAAAGAGCGUGUAGGCGGCCUGACAGGUCUGCUGUGAAAACUCGAGGCUCAACCUCGAGAUGUCGGCGGAAACCGUCUGGCUAGAGUCCGGAAGAGGCGAGUGGAAUUCCUGGUGUAGCGGUGAAAUGCGCAGAUAUCAGGAGGAACACCAAUGGCGAAGGCAGCUCGCUGGGACGGUACUGACGCUGAGGCGCGAAAGCGUGGGGAGCAAACAGG
rnacentral:rRNA from 1 species